GCAUUUAUGCGGGGACCGUGACAGGGGGAUCCCAAGUGCUCAUGCAUUGCAUGGGCUGUUCUUUGGUCUAAGUAACCAGAGGAGUAAGGGCUGGGCAAGACCGGUGCCAGCCGCCGCGGUAAUACCGGCAGCUCAAGUGGUAGCCGCGAUUAUUGGGCCUAAAACGUUCGUAGCCGGAUAAGUAAGUCUUUGGUUAAAUCCUGCGACUCAACCGUGGGAAUUCUAGAGAUACUGCUUGUCUUGAGACCGGGAGAGGUUGGAGGUACUCCUAGGGUAGGGGUGAAAUCCUGUAAUACA
rnacentral:rRNA from 1 species